CAUGCAGCAUCCCUCCCUUACUGUUGCACUUAAGUCCAGAUUCGCUCUGACCAUUCCCGCUCACAAGCGGAGAGCAACACAGCACCACGGUGCCUAAAGACCAUAGAAAUUGCCACAGAGGUGGGGGUAGAGAUCGUCUUCAAGGUUGUUGUCAUCCGGAAUUUUAUGUCCUUCAUUUUCUUUCACUCUGUAUGCCUGUCACAUCGGCUUAACUCAAGGAUCCGCCGCCGGCUCCCCCAUUGCAGUUGCUGAGGGUGGCCCCGCGGGCCCGCCUCCACCCGGCUGCCGCAGCACUGUGGCCCUGUGAGUCCGCCUCCACCUGGUUGCCGUGGCACAGCGGCCUCGGGGCCCGCCUCCACCCGGCAGCUGCAGCACCAUGGGUCCACCUCCACCUGGCUGCCGCAGCACCACA